GCUGAGGUUACUGAACAGGAAAGAUAAACUGUCUAAACAUACGUUGUCAUAUUUAGUUUAAAUAGGCUGAAAAACCAACUAAGUUAAAAUGGAGCAAACUCCUAUAUGGUUUAAAACUGACUUACAAUGGUGCAAAUUGAAUGGAUAAAUCAGUUUUAAAACAAUACAGGGGUGUCCAUGCAGGGAUUUUAACUGGUAAGUGUCAACAGAUAAUUGUACCAGUUUAAUAUAAUACCAGUAUGUUUUAAAUAAUAGUAACUAACCUUAGUUAAAGAUGUGCAACUAAGCAGGUAUGCAAAUAUUUGCCUUUCUUAUCUCUCUGACCAUCUAUGCUAUAUAAACAGUGCCAAUCACCAUGCUAAUUGGGUGCUAGUACUCCUCCCCCAAGUAAACAAAAGGAUUAACCUGGCAUGAAAAGAGACCAUAGCUGUCCAGACUAGUUUUGAAGUAUCUGUGAGAGCACUGCUGAGUUCCCAGUUCAAUCUUAAAUGUUACUGCCAUACUGUGGGAAUUGGAUUAGCCUGGGGAGGGCUAAAUACAUCUUUUUGGUGGUGGGGUUUGCCUGGAGACAGGUUUAUGAGUCCUGGGAUAUAGCUCAGACCAGUUUUUGCACCACUUGGCAUGUGGGCACUAUUAUUCCACCCUAUGUCUGUACUACGAUUGGCAGUUGUGAUGGUAGUAUGUGUUGUCCUAACCUUGCUGUGGUAUUGAUAGUGGUGAGGUUGCUGCUGUACCAGCCUGCUUGAGGUGCUGCAUAUGUACUUGGAAAGCCUACACUGAAACCUGUAGACACAGAGGCUACACCUGUACCCCCAGUUACUGUGGAGACCUACUAGAUAAGUACCUGACAGGCCAAGCAUACUAAGAGUCUACACCAGGCUAGUGUAAAAAAGCUCUUACCUAUUUCAGUUCAUAUCCUAUCUUAUUUUGCAGUAACUCUCCUGUGUAGCCCUGUCAAGAAAGGGAGAGAGAAACCUCUCCAUUGGUAAGGGCAGAAUUAGCUUUCCAGUGUAACUGUUUUGGAUGCCAUUUUACACUGUACCAACUUCCUUAAUUUUGUUAUGUUUGUUCUCUUACUAGAGAACUUAAGGGGAAAAUCUGAAGUCAACUGUACCUUGAGGGCAAGUUAAGAAAAAAGUCAUAUCCUAUUCUUGUAAAAGGUGAGCCAGAAAUUUCUAGGUUAAGAGGUUUUUCAAAUUGGUUUUAUUCAGUUGAUUUCAUUCGAUACUGGCUCCCCUAAAGAAUUUUGUAUGGUGCAAUGGGUUCAAAAGCCACCCAGAGCUCCAUGUUAAGCAAGUGGACUUAAAAAAAAAGAGUUGGUCCUCUCAAUGCUAGGCAUGUUUAAGUGCAUGGUUUUGUGCAUAGGGGUGAAUUUCACCUCCUAAAAAGAGGUGCCUAUUUAAUAUACACAAUAUCCAAACUGAUCAGGGGAUCCCUGCAAAAUAUAAAUAUAACUUUGGGCUGUUGGUUAAAUGUUGUUUUCUGACUCAGCAACUUUCUGUUUUCUUCUUUGUCACAGAUUUGUUAUGCAACUUUGGGCAAGUUACUGAAAUUCUCUGUGGCUCUGCCUUGCUUUCCUUGUAAAAUUGGAGCACUUUGGAGGAAAUGUGCUGUAGAAAUGCAAGGCACUACCUGCUCCCUGCACAACCAUGCAUAGGAAUACCCUGAUUUCCAGGAGACUGAUCUCAAUUUCUGGCUUUGUCAUAACUUCUUACAUAUCAGUCUCAAUAAAGGUCAAUCUCUCUGCCACAGUUGCUUAUCUGUAAACCAGAGACAAUGCUUCCAGUCUCUAUCUGGUCUGUUUAGACUUAAUUUUGAUUGGGGCCUGUAUAUGCUACUGGAGAAUAAAUAAUUAUCAUUCAGAAGCAAAUGUUCCUGAGUCCAUGUUAACAGCAGUUGCUGU